UACGUAGGGUGCGAGCGUUGUCCGGAAUUACUGGGCGUAAAGAGCUCGUAGGUGGUUUGUCACGUCGUCUGUGAAAUUCCGGGGCUUAACCUCGGGCGUGCAGGCGAUACGGGCAAUACUUGAGUGCUGUAGGGGAGACUGGAAUUCCUGGUGUAGCGGUGAAAUGCGCAGAUAUCAGGAGGAACACCAAUGGCGAAGGCAGGUCUCUGGGCAGUUACUGACGCUGAGGAGCGAAAGCACGGGUAGCGAACAGGAUUAGAUACCCCCGUA
rnacentral:rRNA from 1 species